rnacentral:tRNA from 1 species
GCAGUUGUGCCGAGUGGUUAAGGCGAUAGACUUGAACUCUAGAUGGCGUAGGGUCGAACCUACCACUGCG